rnacentral:rRNA from 1 species
GACGAGGGGUCCUAGCGUUGUUCGGAAUCACUGGGCGUAAAGCGUAUGUAGGUGGCUAAGCAAGUCAGGUGUGAAAGCCCGGGGCUCAACCCCGGAACUGCAUUUGAAACUGCUUAGCUUGAAUAUCGGAGAGGAUAGCGGAAUUCCUGGUGUAGUGGUGAAAUACGUAGAUAUCAGGAGGAACAUCGGUGGCGAAGGCGGCAUCCUGGACCAACACUGACGCUGAGGAGCGAAAGCCAGGGGAGCAAACGGG